CGUCUUUGCGCGGAGAAUUUAACGGGGCUAAACCUGACACCGAAGCUUAGGCAAUACAGCAAUGUAUUGGGUAGGGGAGCGUUGUAUACGCGGUGAAACAGUAGCGCAAGCGGCUGUGGAGUGUAUAGAAGUGAGAAUGCCGGAAUGAGUAGCGCGAAUGCAGUGAGAAUCUGCAUGGCCGAAAGCCUCAGGUUUCUGGAGGAAGGUUCGUCCGCUCCAGGUUAGUCGGGAGCUAAGGUGAGGCCUAACGGCGUAGCCGAUGCACAGACGGUAGAGAUUCCGUCACCACCAAAAGAGUUAAACACAGGGACACAUAUGAAGUCUCGGAGCCGGGUGUUGGUUCCGGUAGCGAUCGAGGGAAGUUAGUACCGAAGUCUGAGAUGGAAGAUGGCGAGAAAAGCUGUGUGUAUUUCUGCGGUGCCCGUACCGCAAACCGACACAGGUAGGUAGGAAGAAGAUUCUAAGGCCAACGGGAGAAGGGUUGUUAAGGAACUCGGCAAAUUGACCCCGUAACUUCGGGAGAAGGGGUGCUCCAGAGAUGGAGCCGCAGAGAAUCGGCCCAAGCAACUGUUUACCAAAAACACAGGUUUGUGCUAAAUCGAAAGAUGACGUAUACGAGCUGACGCCUGCCCGGUGCUGGAAGGUUAAGAGGAGAUGUGCAAGCAUUGAAUCGAAGCCCCAGUGAACGGCGGCCGUAACUAUAACGGUCCUAAGGUAGCGAAAUUCCUUGUCAGGUAAGUUCUGACCCGCAUGAAAGGCGUAAUGAUUUGGGCACUGUCUCAACAGCCCGCCCGGCGAAAUUGUAGUACCGGUGAAGAUGCCGGUUACCCGCGACAAGACGGAAAGACCCCAUGGAGCUUUACUGUAGCCUAAUAUUGGGUUUCGAUGUUGCAUGCACAGGAUAGAUGGGACACAGGGAAACAAUCGCUUUGGCGGUUGCGGAGUGGCCGUUGGGAUACCAUCCUUGCGAUAUUGGAAUUCUAACCUGCGGCUCUGAAUCGAGUCGGGGGACAUUGUUAGGUGGGCAGUUUGACUGGGGCGGUCGCCUCCUAAAAAGUAACGGAGGCGUUCAAAGGUUCGCUCAGCUUGAACGGAAAUCAAGCAAAAGAGUGCAAACGCAGAAGCGAGCCUAACUGCGAGACUGACGGGUCGAGCAGUAACGAAAGUUGGAGUUAGUGAUCCGGUGGUAUGUGAGUGGAAAUGCCAUCGCUCAACGGAUAAAA
rnacentral:rRNA from 1 species